rnacentral:lncRNA from 1 species
CUGAGUGACUCACGUUUUGCUGCGUGGCUGCUCUCAGCUAGCAGGAUCUGGCAGCCUUGGCCCAAGCAAUCCCAGUGGGCGCAUCUUGGGAGCUGACUUUGGGGCCACCUUUCCCCAUGCUGCCUGGGGACCAGAGAACACUGACCGCGGGAAAGACCGAUGCUGCCGAGGCCAGGAGGAGGGGGAGGCCGUCAUCUGUGGGUCCCCAGCAGCGCUUGGGGUCCUGGCCACUCCAGCGGCCCCUUGCACCUGCCUCCAGGGAUCCUUUGUCUUCAAAAUAACCUCCCUCCACCUUCCGGCUCAUAGUGCCUUGGGUGGAUCUGUUCCCAUUUCCCACAAGCCUGCAGGGUGGUGACAGGCCCUCAUUCCCAUGUGCCCCAAGAUUUCGGAUUCCAAAAAUACAUCCCCUGGCUCCCCGGAGAAGUGUGUCACGGUGUCUCCGUUUCACCACUGACAGGGCCAAAGGAUGUGCUCUCCUCUCCCGAGCUGCCAUGGUCAAGGCAAGCCAGGACUCACCUCAGGCUGGCCCAGCCCCUCACCCCACACUGGCUCUGGGGGCCACGGCUGGCGAAGCCUCUGCGGUAGUUGGGGAUCAGGCAGGCCGAGGGUCUGGCCUGUGCCGAGACCUGCACAGCUGGGUCAGCGGCUGCCUCUGUAUUCAUUUCCUGAGGCUGCUGUGACAAGUCACCACAUACCUGGUGGCUGAAAACAACACAUUUACUCCGCUCGCAGUUCUGGAGCCCAGAAGUGCAGUGUCACGGGGGUGAAGGCGAGGCGUCGGGGGCCGCUCCUCCUCCAGAGGCUGGGCCUUCCCAGGAGCUUAUCCACUCCUGGCCUCUCCCUGCUUAUGGGGGCUGCCAGGG